AUUGAAACACCGGUUCCUGUACGUCACUGAAGUUAAGCAACGUCGAGUCUGGUCAGUACUUAGACGGGUGUCUACUUGGGAAUACAGGUGUUGCAA